rnacentral:rRNA from 1 species
UACGGAGGGUGCAAGCGUUGUUCGGAUUUAUUGGGCGUAAAGCGCGUGUAGGCGGUCUUCUAAGUCUGAUGUGAAAGCCCUGGGCUCAACCCAGGAAGUGCAUUGGAUACUGGACGACUUGAAUACGGGAGAGGGUAGUGGAAUUCCUAGUGUAGGAGUGAAAUCCGUAGAUAUUAGGAGGAACACCGGUGGCGAAGGCGGCUACCUGGACCGAUAUUGACGCUGAGACGCGAAAGCGUGGGGAGCAAACAGG